GGAGCUUGCUCCCUGAUGUUAGCGGCGGACGGGUGAGUAACACGUGGGUAACCUGCCUGUAAGACUGGGAUAACUCCGGGAAACCGGGGCUAAUACCGGAUGGUUGUUUGAACCGCAUGGUUCAGACAUAAAAGGUGGCUUCGGCUACCACUUACAGAUGGACCCGCGGCGCAUUAGCUAGUUGGUGAGGUAACGGCUCACCAAGGCGACGAUGCGUAGCCGACCUGAGAGGGUGAUCGGCCACACUGGGACUGAGACACGGCCCAGACUCCUACGGGAGGCAGCAGUAGGGAAUCUUCCGCAAUGGACGAAAGUCUGACGGAGCAACGCCGCGUGAGUGAUGAAGGUUUUCGGAUCGUAAAGCUCUGUUGUUAGGGAAGAACAAGUGCCGUUCAAAUAGGGCGGCACCUUGACGGUACCUAACCAGAAAGCCACGGCUAACUACGUGCCAGCAGCCGCGGUAAUACGUAGGUGGCAAGCGUUGUCCGGAAUUAUUGGGCGUAAAGGGCUCGCAGGCGGUUUCUUAAGUCUGAUGUGAAAGCCCCCGGCUCAACCGGGGAGGGUCAUUGGAAACUGGGGAACUUGAGUGCAGAAGAGGAGAGUGGAAUUCCACGUGUAGC
rnacentral:rRNA from 3 species